AUGAAACCAAUGGGAGCUCUGAAACCAAACUCUGUACAACUAGUCUCAGACUUGAUUGAUCCAGAUUCAAACCAAUGGAAUACUGAGCUGAUCAGGUCGGUAUUCUUACCCCCUGAUGUGGAUGCAAUUUUGGCUAUGCCAAGAUCGAGAACAGGUGGUGCAGAUAUCUGGGCUUGGGCAUGGGAGAAGUCCGGACUGUUUACUGUUCGAUCAGCGUAUCGCCAGGCUAUGGAAGAAAAGCGUCAGAUGACAGUGACAGAGAGCUCAUCGACGGGUGAUGAAGGAACAUGGCGAGCUUUGUGGAAGCUUAAUGUUCUGUCUAAGAUUAAGGUAUUUUGGUGGCGAGUGCUAAAGGGGUUACUACCCAGCUAUGGAGAACUAAAGCGACGGCAUAUAAAGCAACUACCAAAUUGCCCAAUGUGUGGCAACGAUAAUGAAACGCUGUUUCAUUCUUUGAUGGAAUGUGAUCAUGCUAGACGCUUCUGGGAGGCGGCUGAGCGCUUCUUUGACAUAGACACGCCGAGGCUCCAUCCAGGGACUUGGUCCCGGGAUAUACUGGAUCAUACUAUGAUUAAGAAGGAAAAUGUGGCAAUCAUGGUCGCAGUGAUGUGGGUGGUGUGGCAUUCGAGAAAUAGCUAUACACAUGGAGAGCAGCAGUACCAACCAGUGCAAUCCAUGAGAACCAUAGAGGAGAUUGUUCGAGCUCUUGAAGUUCCAUCAACCGGUAGAAUUCAACCUGUCAUCCAACCAUCAUGGCAGCCGCCGGAAGUAGGGUGGGCGAAAAUAAAUACAGAUGGAGCUACGGACUCGGAGCAUGGCAAAGGUGGUGCAGGUUUUGUCGUACGAGACCACCAGGGGGCGUUUGUGAGUGCGGGGUGUUCACGCUAUGAUGGAGUUUCAGACCCUCUCACGAUCGAGCUUCUCGCAUGCAGAGAUGCGCUUGCAGCAGCGCAGAAUUCAGGGCUGCAUUACGUAGAGAUGGAGACGGAUUGCCAACAAAUUCAGACUCUUUGGGAAGCUCCGCAGAAGUCAAGUUUUUUCCACCUCAUUAGAGAGAUGAGGGAUAUAUGUAAUUUCUUUCAGGGAUUCAAGCUUCGAUUGAGAUCCACCAUCUAUGCUGACAAGAUUCGGUGCUGCUACAUGUUUGCUUGUUUUAUCCCCUCACUAUUGUAUCAGGACUUGGCCAGGAGCGAUGCGCAGCACACAUGCAGCCAACUGAUGCAUAUCCACAGUUCGACGCACAGGACAAGGGCUAGACGAGAAAAUAGUGAAAUCUUCAACUACGACAACGCUUCGAUCCAACAACUACCAAGCCAUGCAUGUACCAACAAAACAAGAACUCUAAAACUGCGUCUGUCGUCACCCACUUGCCAUGUUCGAGACGGCGCGCUAGCAAGCUCAGCUCCUGUCAAGAUCCUUUUGGUUAAUGGCCCUAGCCUUUGGCUUGAUCGGCUCUUGGGAGUCCCCGUCCAUGCCAUGCGUUGA
rnacentral:rRNA from 1 species